rnacentral:rRNA from 1 species
ACGUAGGUGGCAAGCGUUGUCCGGAAUUAUUGGGCGUAAAGCGCGCGCAGGUGGCUCCUUAAGUCUGAUGUGAAAGCCCACGGCUCAACCGUGGAGGGUCAUUGGAAACUGGGGAACUUGAGUGCAGAAGAGGAAAGUGGAAUUCCACGUGUAGCGGUGAAAUGCGUAGAGAUGUGGAGGAACACCAGUGGCGAAGGCGACUUUCUGGUCUGUAACUGACACUGAGGCGCGAAAGCGUGGGGAGCGAACAGG